CAGACUGGGUCCACUUGUCUCUGGAGUCUGAAGUUGUCUACAGGAGGAUGAGAGAUGUCCAGUGUCUCAAGAAUGGGUGCUGGAGAAGCAGCUAAGGAAGAGUACAGAGAAGAAGGAAACUGUUACACUGGGAUUUUAUGAGAGUAAAGAUGGAGAAGGUUCCUAAGGAGUACUGGAUGGGUUACAGGUGUUUGAUGAGCCACCUGUUGUUUCUGCUGCGAAUUGUUUGUGCUGAAGUGUUUCUCCAUCUCCAAACACCACAUUUUUAUGAAUAGUCUCAACCCAACUCUUAUUAACUGCUGUUUCUCAAAAACAGUGAUUGUCACUUUGGGACAGUGUUCUUCAUUAGGAUGUUUGUGCCAAGUUCAAAGGAAGUAUAGUUUUCCUUCCAUGACACAGAAAGGAGUUGUGGACAUUUUGAGAUAGAUGCCAAGACUAUUGCUGAUUAAAAAACAAAAACAAAAACAAAAAACCCAUCAAGAUGGGCACUAGUUACCUACAAGUAUUUGUAAAACAAAAUGCCACUAGUGAGACUCUUACAACAUAUCAGUAGAAAAAAGGCUUUAUUAGCUAUGAACAUAGAAUGACUCUCUGAAAACUUACACUGAUAGUUUAGAACUCUUCCAAGUUAAUUACUUGACAAAAACAAAACAUCACCACCAUUUAGACACUAUAACAAGACCCAGAGCCUCCACAACAUAGCAUCCAAAUGGCUGGGAUACAAUUCAAAAUUAAUUGAUCUAAGAACAAUUGAGGGGGAGAAUUUUAACCUGUUCUCAAGAGAACUGAGUCCUGAGAAGAAGCAGACAGACAUUAGAAUCGUCAAACAAGGACCUCACAGAGCCAUGACAUCAGUACUCAGCUGGCUCAGUGUAAACCUGUUCAAAGCAGAAGAAAAUAUCAGAUACAGCAAGAGAAAUAAAAACUAAAAUUAACCAAAAAGAAAAAAAAAGAAGAAAUCUGAUAACUGUGUAAAAUAACGAAAUACUUCGUGAUGUUUAGUCCUAUGAAAAUUGAAUUCAUGUCUAUAAGUCCCUCAACAAAGUGAGUCCAUUGAGUUUUAACUUUAAUCUCUAACCUUGAACUUGA